rnacentral:rRNA from 1 species
GACGAACGCUGGCGGCGUGCCUAAUACAUGCAAGUCGAGCGCAGGAAGCUGACGGGACUCUUCGGAGAGAAGGCAGUGGAAUGAGCGGCGGACGGGUGAGUAACACGUAAGGAACCUGCCUCAAGGAUUGGGAUAACUCCGAGAAAUCGGAGCUAAUACCGGAUAGUUCAACGGACCGCAUGGUCCGCUGAUGAAAGGCGCUUCGGCGUCACCUUGAGAUGGCCUUGCGGUGCAUUAGCUAGUUGGUGGGGUAACGGCCCACCAAGGCGACGAUGCAUAGCCGACCUGGGAGGGUGAUCGGCCACACUGGGACUGAGACACGGCCCAGACUCCUAAGGGAGGCAGCAGUAGGGAAUCUUCCACAAUGGACGAAAGUCUGAUGGAGCAACGCCGCGUGAGUGAUGAAGGUUUUCGGAUCGUAAAACUCUGUUAUAAGGGAAGAACACGUACGAGAGGGAAUGCUCGUACCUUGACGGUACCUUACGAGAAAGCCACGGCUAACUACGUGCCAGCCGCCGCCGUAA